CAUUGAUGGAUAUAUUACUGGACAUUACGUGAUUUAUCUUUACAGGUUAUCUCACCAAGGAACCAGCUGUUUCUGGAGAUGGUUGACGGUGGGUUUGUCAUCAAAGAGCCCUCAGCUCCUGCUCUGCUGCUGUGCCCCACACCUGCCUGUGGUUUGGCAUUAGGCCUGGCCUUCCAGUUUCCUUGCAGUGGGAUCAGUGGCAGAUGAAAGACAUUGACACGGAGGAGGAGGAGUCGGCUUUUCUUUUGCUGAUGAAAACAAGAAUCAGCAAGGCUAAAGGCAAAACAAGUUGUGUCUGUCUGGCUGUCUUUCGACGCAGGAUGCCGUCAUCAUCCAAACGAAAGAGGCGAUUGGUGUGAAGUGCUGAUUUCUUUGCACUGAGCAGAGAGUGCCAUGGACCAUACUGCAUGGGAACUUGGGUCCUCAACUGACUGUGCAACUGCUUGAACUGAACGAGAUGACAUUUCCUCAGUACAAUGUUCCAUCAUGGUGUUAAUAUCCACUGGCAGCCUUGACAGACAGUCGGCAUUGAUGUUUUCUUUUCCUGGUCGGUAUCCGAUGGUAAGGUGAAAAUCCGCUAAUUCAGCAACCCACCGACACCCGGUUGCAUUCAGCUUAGCUGUAGACAAGACAUAAGUGAGUGGAUUGUUGUCUGUAUAGACAGUGCAUGACGAGCCAAUCAAAUAGUCUCUAAAUUUUUCACAGACAGCCCAUUUUAAGGCAAGGAAUUCCAAUU